CAUUGAACGGAAUCAAUAGUGACUAGGAUGGUUGCUACUAAGGACGGGAAAUGGACACCUCUGGACGAGGCAAGGAUUUGAACAUCAGGAUGAUGUCAGGGACACCGCUCAGGGAACAAGUGAUGAGAGCUAACGAGGAUGGUUAGCAGACCAGGAUAAGGUCAUUAAGGACACCGCUAGGAAGGCGACGUAAGGAUUAAGCUGACGGAUUCAGCACACUAUCAUGGAUUAGAUGCAUGGAGCACUCUUAGUAGCCGGAUUGCUGCGAGUAAGACUAUAACCCCGAUGGGCGCAAGCCCUCGGGGUUUUUCUUUG
rnacentral:other from 3 species